UGUGCCCGUCACAAAUAAGUUAGUCCAAUUGUUGGGAGAGAAGCCCAUUAGUUAUUUUUAUUAGGGUUUUACUCUCCAGCUGUCGACCAUGCCCUCACCCCUCCUCUCUAUCAUUUCCACUCUCUCUUUGUUUCAUUUCCUCACUCAAUCUCAUCUCGACGGUAUUUCUACUUCUCACUCUUCAGGAUUUAUCUUCACUGAAAAAAUUGGGCAUUUCUACUUCUCUCUCAUUUUUUGUUGAAUUCGGACGAUGAAGAACGCUAAUCUCAAGAACAACGAUUCCGGAGAAAGAGGUGGCUUCAUUCCCAAUGACAAAAUGAACAACAACAACAACAACAACAACAACAACAACAGUAAGAUUAAGAUGAAGAAAUAUAUGCAGAGAUUGGGAGGCACUGGUCUUUCACUUGAAGCAUUUGCCGAUGCUAAAUCCAGAAAAAAUUCCUAUAAUCCUGCUUUGUUAAUUUCAGGGGCUAAUUGAAGAAUUGAAGAUAUAUAUGUUGCUAUAUGAUAGAGCAGGCUACGCGGAUAGUGAUCCAAACCCUGAAAGGUCACUCAAGAGUGAAGCAUUAGAUAUUGUGCAACUUGCCGAUCAGUUAGAGUUCGGACCCAAGUUCUAUGUGAUUGGGGUGUCAAUGGGAUCAUAUCCUACAAUAUAUAGGUUGCAUUAGAUAUUGAAUUUUACAAUAUGUAGGUUGUAGUUAAGCCGAAGAGACACGUGUUCAUAACCGCAAAACUUCAUGAAUUUUUUAAUAUACUGAUUUGACUGGUUUCCCUGUAUUUAUCUCUACACCACUUGUACCUAGAUGAGUGAAAUUCUUUCUAAUGAUCUGAUAGGCUGGAUAUCGUAAUGGUUUACCGGCUGGAAAAAUGUUGCUGCACAAGAGGGUUUUAAUCAGGGUUUCAAGGAUUCUGUGAUGAUUGGUAACAAGUGGGGCAUUGUUAGGGGUGUUACCAGGUAAAGAGCAUCUAGGUAACUAUGAGUUUUAUGGUACCUUUCUAUUUUUGGUGAUGGUUUUUAUGAGUCAUUUGGUCCCUUGAAUUUCUUCAAACCUAUCUUUCCUUUUUAUUUAUCCACUUGAAUUGUCAUAUUCCAUAUUAUCUAUCACAAGAAUGUUCUUCAGUUCAAGAAACCAUUAAUGCCAAUCCAAUGACUAACAACUCGUUACAAUGUGCGCAUAACCUGAAAAGACAAUGUUAAGCAAUAAAGUAUUUUUUUUCUAGUAAUUUGAAUUCUUUUCAGUUCCUUUCUUUAUUCUGCAACCUUUUUGUAGUGCCUUAGCUCAUAUCCCGAAUGAGCUGAAGCUGAAACUUGUUCUGUGAUAUGCUAGAAAGUGAAUCUGGCUACUCUCUCUCUCUUUUUUUUUAUUUUUUAUUUUUAUUUUUUUAAAUCUAGCUACACUAGCUAGCAAUAUCUGAACACAAGCCGCUUUUUUUCAAAGAGCUCAAGAAACUUUGGCAGACCUCAACAGCUCCUUCAAAAGCAAGGGUUCUGUUUUCAGAAUUAAACACUUUGUUGAUAGAUGAUGAGCCUUACAAAGGCCUUUUGAAUCAGGUCAGGGGGACAUGGAAGGAGAUACUCCAUAACUAGGAAAUACCAAAGCUUCUUUUAAGGAGCUAGCAUUAAUGGGACAUGAAAAUUUGGGCAUUGAUCGAUGCUAAAGUGAUUUGGUUGUUGCUAGCCUGCUGCUCUUAAUUAGUUGUUGCUGCGCUUAUAAUUAGCUGUUGUUCUUAGCUGUCGUUUUGCUGCUGCUCUUUAUUGCUGCGCUCUUGGUUGCUACUGAUGCUUUUGGGUGCUGCUGCAGUGUUGCUGGUGGUGACGUGGUGUUCCCUGUUUAUUAUUAUUAUUUUUUAAUUAUUAACAUUUUUAAUCAUACAAUGUGAUGGGUUUAUGAGUGUAUGUGUAUAAUGUUGUAUUUAGAGUAUGUGUUAUAUUUGAAUUUAGGUUUUUGGAAUUUAAACCAAUACCGUUACAAAUAACGGGGUUAUUCGUAACGAGCACUUGUUUUUCCCGUUACAAAUAACUGCUUAUUCGUAACGGACACUUGUUUUGCCCGUUACAAAUAACUGCUUAUUCGUAAUGGACAUUGCCCGUUACGAAUAACAUUGUCUAUCCGUAACGGCCGUAAACGUAACGCCUGUUGCCCGUUACGGA